GACGAACGCUGGCGGCGUGCUUAACACAUGCAAGUCGAACGGAAAGGCCCUGCUUUUGUGGGGUGCUCGAGUGGCGAACGGGUGAGUAACACGUGAGUAACCUGCCCUUGACUUUGGGAUAACUUCAGGAAACUGGGGCUAAUACCGGAUAGGAGCUCCUGCUGCAUGGUGGGGGUUGGAUAGUUUCGGCGGUUGGGGAUGGACUCGCGGCUUAUCAGCUUGUUGGUGGGGUAGUGGCUUACCCAGGCUUUGACGGGUAGCCGGCCUGAGAGGGUGACCGGCCACAUUGGUACUGAGAUACGGCCCAGACUCCUACGGGAGGCAGCAGUGGGAAAUAUUGCACAAUGGGCGGAAGCCUGAUGCAGCAACGCCGCGUGCGUAAUGACGGCCUUCUGGUUGUAAACCGCUUUCGCCUGUGACGAAGCGUUAGUGACGGUAAUGAAUAAAGAAGCACCGGCUAACUACGUG
rnacentral:rRNA from 1 species